UGUAAAUCUAAGGCUGGAUCAGUGCAGCAGGUAACUGAAACAAUCCGGCAAAUGGUCAUAAAAGCAUCAAAUUCGGCAGAAAUACUCCUUAGGCAAAGCCUCUUUUGAAAAAAAGAAAAAAAAAGAAAAAAAAAAAACGAUUGGCCACUUGACUUU